rnacentral:rRNA from 1 species
GGUUGAUCCUGCCAGUAGUCAUAUGCUUGUCUCAAAGAUUAAGCCAUGCAUGUCUCAGUGUAAACUUUUAAACAGUGAAACUGCGAAUGGCUCAUUAAAACAGUUAUCGUUUAUUUGAUAGUCAACUUUACAUGGAUAACCGUGGGAAUUCUAGGGCUAAUACAUGCGCAAACCCGCAAGGGAUGUGUUUAUUAGAUUAAAACCAUCACAGUGGCAACACUGUUCAAUUGGAAUAAUAAUAACCGAUCGAAUCGCACGCUUUAUGUGGCGAUAAAUCAUUCAAGUUUCUGA